AGCGAACGUUUGCGGCGGGCCUAACACAUGCAAGUCGAACGCACUAGCAAUAGUGAGUGGCGCACGGGUGCGUAACACGUGGGUAAUCAACCCUUCAGCUUGGGAUAACGACUUGAAAGGGUCGCUAAUACCGGAUACGGCGAGAGAGGCUUCGGCAUUUCUCGAGAAAGCCUCGCAAGGGGCACUGAAGGACGAGCCUGCGGCCCAUCAGCUAGUUGGUGAGGUAAGAGCUCACCAAGGCGAAGACGGGUAGCUGGUCUGAGAGGAUGAUCAGCCACACUGGAACUGAGACACGGUCCAGACUCCUACGGGAGGCAGCAGUGGGGAAUAUUGCGCAAUGGGCGAAAGCCUGACGCAGCCACGCCGCGUGAGCGAUGAAGGCCUCGGUCGGUAAAGACUCUGUGGGAGGAGAGAAGAACGACGACGAGAGACGGCGU
rnacentral:rRNA from 1 species